rnacentral:rRNA from 1 species
CCUACGGGCGGCAGCAGGGAGGAAUAUUGGUCAAUGGCCGUAAGGCUGAACCAGCCAAGUCGCGUGAAGGAAGAAGGAUCUAUGGUGUGUAAACUGCUUUUAUAGGGGAAUAAAGGUAUCCACGUGUGGAUAUUUGCAUGUACCCUAUGAAUAAGCAUCGGCUAACUCCGUGCCAGCAGCCGCGGUAAUACGGAGGAUGCGAGCGUUAUCCGGAUUUAUUGGGUUUAAAGGGUGCGCAGGCGGCGAGUUAAGUCAGCGGUAACAUUUCGGGGCUCAACCCCGACGAGCCGUUGAAACUGGCUUGCUAGCGUGGGCUAGCAGUCUGCGGUAUGCGUGGUGUAGCGGUGAACUGCAU